UUUUGCCUACGGGGCGCAGCAGUGAGGAAUAUUGGUCAAUGGGCGGGAGCCUGAACCAGCCAAGUCGCGUGAGGGACGACGGUCCUAUGGAUUGUAAACCUCUUUUGUCGGGGAACAAAGGCGCCCACGGGUGGGCGGAUGAGUGUACCCGAAGAAAAAGCAUCGGCUAACUCCGUGCCAGCAGCCGCGGUAAUACGGAGGAUGCGAGCGUUAUCCGGAUUUAUUGGGUUUAAAGGGUGCGCAGGCGGUCUGUUAAGUCAGCGGUCAAAGCCCGGGGCUCAACCCCGGCCCGCCGUUGAAACUGG
rnacentral:rRNA from 1 species